GACGAACGCUGGCGGCGUGCUUAACACAUGCAAGUCGAACGGAAAGGCCCUGCUUUUGUGGGGUGCUCGAGUGGCGAACGGGUGAGUAACACGUGAGUAACCUGCCCUUGACUUUGGGAUAACUUCAGGAAACUGGGGCUAAUACCGGAUAGGAGCUCCUGCUGCAUGUUGGGGGUUGGAAAGUUUCGGCGUUUGGGGAUGGACUCGCGGCUUAUCAGCUUGUUUGUGGGGUAGUGGCUUACCAAGGCUUUGACGGGUAGCCGGCCUGGGAGGGUUACCGGCCACAUUGGGACUGAGAUACGGACCAGAAUCCUACGGGAGGCAGCAGUGGGGAAUAUUGCACAAUGGGCGGAAGCCUGAGGCAGCAACGCCGCGUGCGGGAUGCCGGCCUUCGGGUUGUAAACAGCUUUCGCCUGUGACGAAGCGUGAGUGACGGUAAUGGGUAAAGAAGCACCGGCUAACUACGUG
rnacentral:rRNA from 1 species